rnacentral:rRNA from 1 species
GUGCCAGCCGCCGCGGUAAUACGUAGGGUCCGAGCGUUGUCCGGAUUUAUUGGGCGUAAAGAGCUCGUAGGCGGUUUCGUAAGUCGGAUGUGAAAACUCAGGGCUCAACCCGGAGACGCCAUCUGAUACUGCGAUGACUUGAGUCUGGUAGGGGAUCACGGAAUUCCUGGUGUAGCGGUGAAAUGCGCAGAUAUCAGGAGGAACACCGAUGGCGAAGGCAGUGAUCUGGGCCAGUACUGACGCUGAGGAGCGAAAGCGUGGCGAGCAAACAGGAUUAGAAACCCUGGUAGUCC